rnacentral:rRNA from 1 species
AGGGUUCGAUUCUGGCUCAGGAUGAACGCUAGCUACAGGCUUAACACAUGCAAGUCGAGGGGCAGCAUUGGAGUAGCAAUACUUCAGAUGGCGACCGGCGCACGGGUGAGUAACACGUAUCCAACCUGCCGCUUACUCGGGGAUAGCCUUUCGAAAGAAAGAUUAAUACCCGAUGGUAUAAAGAGUUCGCAUGUUCUCUUUAUUAAAGAAUUUCGGUAAGCGAUGGGGAUGCGUUCCAUUAGAUAGUUGGCGGGGUAACGGCCCACCAAGUCUACGAUGGAUAGGGGUUCUGAGAGGAAGGUCCCCCACAUUGGAACUGAGACACGGUCCAAACUCCUACGGGAGGCAGCAGUGAGGAAUAUUGGUCAAUGGACGAGAGUCUGAACCAGCCAAGUAGCGUGAAGGAUGACUGCCCUAUGGGUUGUAAACUUCUUUUAUAAGGGAAUAAAGUGAGGGACGUGUCCCUUUUUGUAUGUACCUUAUGAAUAAGGAUCGGCUAACUCCGUGCCAGCAGCAGC